rnacentral:lncRNA from 1 species
UUCCUUAUCUGGUACUGGCACCAGGGAAUUGUAAGAUUUCAAAACCAAGUGUUAAGUUUCCAGUGUUUGGGUAUUGUUACUUCUGGGAGGCUGUGGUUUGAAUCUGCCUUCUGAUCUGCUAUUGGUUCUGCCACUGGCCAGGCCCAGACGAGUUUAGUAACAAGAAGUUCACUGGGAAGAGAGAAUGGGAAAGUGACUGUGGUGAAGAGGCACAGCAACUGGUGGGGAGAAACUCACUCGGACUUCUUUGUCGGAGCCUGGGUUAUCUUCAUAACUCAUCCUUUAUGUUGUUUCUCAUUUGCCAUUUUAAUGGUAACAUGCGAGAGUUAGAGAAGAAUGAUAAAAAUGGGCUCAGAGGACAUCCUCAGGCAGUUGCCUCAACCAGUAUGGGCAUGAGGAAUAAGUAAGCGCCUCAAAGCUGGGAUAGAUGAGACUACAGGUAGGUAUCUAUUCUGAUGGAGGUUGUGGGCUUGGGCGUUUACUGGGAGGCAGCAUUGAGGUGGUGGGUCCUGUGUCCUGUGUUCUAAGCACUGUAGGGGUUAGCUCUCAGCUUUUGUAUCAAUCACUUAUUGCUGUGUAACAAAACAUCCCAAAAAGUCGUGACUUAAAACAAUGACUUCUCGCAGUUCUGUGGAUUGGUGAGGCGGUUCUGCUCCUUCUGAUGUUAGCUGGGGCCGCUUGUGGUGUAAUCGUCUGGGCUUGGCUGGGCUGGGACACCCAGGACGGUGGUUGUCUGGGGUCUUAGUACUGGCUGUCAGUUGGGAGGCCUUGGGUCUCUUUCACAUCACCUCCCUCCCGGAGGUCUCUCAUCAUUCAAUAAGUAGUCUAGCCUAAGCUACAUGGUGACUGGCUUCCAGAAGAACAAGGAGAAGCAGCAAAUCCUCUUAAGGUUUAUAAGUCUCCAGAUGCUACUCUGCUACCUUCUGUUGGUCAAAGCAAGUCACAAGGGGAGGGGAAAUAGAGUCGGCCUCUAGCUGAGGGGAUGGAGGGGCCGUGGGUGUGUGGAGCUGCGAAGGGUGGUUGGCACCGUCUUUCCAGAUGACCUGCUGUACCUUUUAACUGAC